GAAGCUCUGCUUAUGAAACACAGGCAUCACCAAAGCCAAGCACAGGGCCCCCUGCCCACUGGAACAGCUUCCCACGCUGCUGGAAUCGCUGUUUCUAGGGACCCUGUCCUGUCCUCUCCUCUCCUGUCCGCUCCUUUCACCUCACCUCUCUUCCUCCCUCUGCUUUCCCUGCUGCCUCUUCCUCCUGGCCUCCUCUCCUCCUGCCUCUGCCCUCUUCUCCUGUUCCCUCUGUCUUUCCCUUCCCAGAUGGGCAUCCGAGUCCCUGGUGACUCAGCUCGCCUGUGUCUCCCCAGGCAGGUGCAUCUGGUUCAGUCACAUUAAAAAUAUAUCCAUUGGCCACACGCAGUUGACGCUUCAAUCUGUUCCCUGCCUCUGCUUUCCAGGAACAGGCUACUCAAAACCCAAAGGAGGGCUGGUGAGACCAGAGAAGAAGAGGCACAGACUCUGGGGCCCAGGCCUUCCAAGCCCACACGUCACACUUCACCACGCGCUCAGAAAGGAAUCAUCAGCACGCCCAGGGUCAUCCGUCUCUUUUGAAUUACAAGAAGAAAGAAGGAGAAGAAUGAGGAAGAGGAGAGGAGGUGGCACAGGGGAACAAGGCACCGAUGACAAAAGCCACUUGCAGGGUCUGGAGGGGAAGGCAGGGCCCUUUCUGGGGCCCCCUAGUUGCACCUGCUUGCUCAGCCCACACCUCAUGACACCAAUCCUGCCUUCCUGCGCACCACAGGGAUGGGGAACUUCCCACCCCUGGAGAGGAGCAGCCGCAGAGGUGGGAACAGGAAGGAGAUGGGGGUCUGGGGUCACACUGGCGUGA
rnacentral:lncRNA from 1 species